GUGACAGCCCUGGAGACUGAUGUCCUCCGUCUAUCCACAGAACAGCUGUGGCUUUACAGAGUUCUUCCCACCUUACCUUGCCAGUGUAUCUCACGCCUGGAGGGACGUCCGUUAGGGGCAAUAGGUCAUUCAGACUCCGUGACCCAUUCAGUCCUUGGCCCUU
rnacentral:sRNA from 1 species